AAGAGGAGCAGAAGGACAUUACCUAGUAGUACGGGGUUAUAGCAAUAUAGCCCCCGUCUGCACCCAUGUUUUUUGCGUACUACAUGUUUCCUCGGCUGGUUCUCCAGCCGAUAGGAUCUCUUAAACUCAUUGUAAUUGCAAUCAGCGUCUGAAAAAAUUAAUAUUUACAACUUUCAACAACGGAUCUCUUGGUUCUGGCAUCGAUGAAGAACGCAGCGAAAUGCGAUAAGUAGUGUGAAUUGCAGAAUUCAGUGAAUCAUCGAAUCUUUGAACGCACAUUGCGCCCCUUGGUAUUCCAUGGGGCAUGCCUGUUCGAGCGUCAUUUGUACCCUCAAGCUAUGCUUGGUGUUGGGUGUUUGUCCUAUCCAUUGCGACUGGACUCGCCUUAAAGAUAUUGGCAGCCGGCAUUUUGGCCUUGGAGCGCAGCACAAUUUGCGAGUCCAAGUCGGAAUACUGACGUCCAGAUAAGCUUUUUACCACGUU
rnacentral:rRNA from 1 species